GAGAUGGAAGAAUGAUCUGAAAAUAUGCCUCCCCAGUGAACCUCAGCCCUGGCUGGCAGAUCUGGCUGGCUAAUGGGAGUCCCCUUGUCCUCUCCAUGGCUCUUGUGCCUCCCCUUCAAGACUGUGUGUGUAUUCCAAGAGGACUACCUUCCCAGGUGGGGAUGCAUUGUUCUUAUAACAAUGUAAAGGCUUACAGAAUUUCCUUGAAUGUUGCAUCUACUUUUAGGGUUCUGAAUCUAUGAAUCACAAAUUAGAAUUGGUGCCUUUGGAAGAGGAGAUGGGACAUGAAGCCCGCUCCAGCUU
ensembl:misc_RNA 7SK 7SK RNA